rnacentral:rRNA from 1 species
UUUAAAUGGCCGCAGUAUUUUGACUGUGCAAAGGUAGCAUAAUCAUUAGUCUUUUAAUUGAAGGCUGGUAUGAAUGGUUGGACGAAGUAUAAGCUGUUUCAUAUGAAUUUAUUAUAGAAUUUUAUAUUUUAGUUAAAAAGCUAAAAUUUUAUUAAAAGACGAGAAGACCCUAUAAAUCUUUAUAUUUUUUAUUAUUUAAGUUUUUUAGAUUUAUUUUAUUUUUAUAAUAUUAAAUAUUUUGUUGGGGUGAUAUUAAAAUUUAAUGAACUUUUAAUAUAUUUUUAUCAUUAAUUUAUGAUUUAUUGAUCCAUUAAUAUUGAUUAUAAGAUUAAGUUACUUUAGGGAUAACAGCGUAAUUUUUUUUGAGAGUUCAUAUCGACAGAAAAGUUUGCGACCUCGAUGUUGGAUUAAGGUAUAAUUUUGGGUGUAGUUGUUCAAUUAUUAAGUCUGUUCGACUUUUAAAUCCUUACAUGAUC